AUUGAACGCUGGCGGCAGGCCUAACACAUGCAAGUCGAACGAGUGGCGGACGGGUGAGUAAUGUCUGGGAAACUGCCCGAUGGAGGGGGAUAACUACUGGAAACGGUAGCUAAUACCGCAUAACAUAGGAUGUGCCCAGAUGGGCUUAGCUAGUAGGUGGGGUAACGGCUCCCCUUGGCGACGAUCCCUAGCUGGUCUGAGAGGAUGACCAGCCAACCUGGAACUGCGACACAGUCCAGACUCCUACGGGCGGCAGCGGUGGGCAAUAUUGCACGAUGGGCGCAAGCCGGAUGCAGCCAUGCCGCGUGUAUGAGGAAGGCCUUCGGGUUGUAAAGUACUUUCAGCGAUGGGGCGUUACUCGCAGAAGAAGCACCGGCUAACUCCGUGCCAGCAGCCGCGGUAAUAC
rnacentral:rRNA from 1 species